UUUUUUUUUUUUUUUUUUUUUUGUGUCUUGCAGGAAUGUCAGUAUGUGCUUAAUUACUGAUUUGGAUAGCUAUUUCUGCUGACAAAAGAAUGUCACUGUACUGUGAUUUAUAUUAAUCCUCACAGUGCACUGUGCACCUGAAGAACAUGCAGCUGCUGGCCAGUGGGAGACCUGAUGCCUCCUGUGCUUUGCAGACUGUAAAAUUUGUUCUUUUUUAUUUUUUGUUAUGUAGCCAGGUGAGGCUGCUUGUCCUGGUCCUGAAGUGGCAAGGUAAAGCCUUGUUUCUUUGUUGUCACUUUCAGAAGUUCUGGAAUACUAUUCUAGGACUGACAAAAUCUUACGGCAUAGCACCAUUUGUCAAACCUCAUUUGAAAAUACAUACCCCUUUGCCUAUGCUGCCUUUUUUUACUUUCUCUCUGUUCUUCCAGCUUCACAAAUGCAUUUCUUACUCACUUGCAUGAAGCCUUUUGUCAGACAGCAUGCUGCUCCUUCAGCGAAUGUGUUCAUAAAGCCAGGAGAAUAAGAUACUCUGAUUGGAGCAGAUAUGACUGCAGUCUUUAAAUACCUGGAAAGGAAGAAUAAGGUUUGCCUUGACACAGAGAUUUUCUGAAGAACCACUGUUCAUGGUUACGUUUUCACUUGAAGUACAAAUGGAAUUAAAACAACCUUGUUUUGUGAGGCUAAGGGAUUAGAUUGAACAUCAAAAUUGCAAUUUAAGAGUCUGGUGGACUAUAAAAAACAAUUCCAGUCAGAGGUCGCUCAUUUGGAAAUGGUGAGCAACAGCUGCUGCAGCCUUGGCUGUCUCUCAGUGGUGGUGAAGAGACAAAAUUGUAAAUUGAACUUCUGCAUACUUCAGGUGCCGAGUCUUGAGCAGAACUGUAAUUACACAGUGCAUAACAGACAUCAUGUACAUUAUGAAAUGGUAUUUAUUUUUCUUUGGACUAUUAAAUGAGAGAAAAUGGGAGAUAAAG